CUGCUUUGAAAACUAGUUAUCUAGAAAGCAAAUUCCUUAAAAAAAAAAAAAAAACCUCUAGCUUCUCCUAACUGUGCUUGCUAAGGAUAUCGUACAACUUGUCCACAGAGAGUGAUUAUCCACAUCAGGUGGCAUUAGUUUAUUGAUCCAAUGAGGAAAUAUCUUUAAUGAGCAUAUACACUAGAGCCAUUGAAGGAAAACAGUUCCGUUUAAACCAUACCCUCACUGAAUUAAUAUCUCAUAAAACAGAUAUUCCAGGCCACAGAGAGAAGUGCUGUUGCGUGCUAACUUUUGCUUGUAAAGUCAGACAGGCUCAAAUCAGAAGAAACACAGGGAAGCAGUAGAGCCAGCUUGCUAAACAAAACCCUUUUCAUAGUUUCUUUACAUCUCCUUUGAAAAGGUGUUCUAGAACUUAACAUGAAAAGCACAUAUGCCAAGGCAAAAAGAGCUACAACACCGACCUCACUGGUAUUUAAUGAUUAGAUUAACAUUUCCAGUGGGGCUAGGGAAAUGCAGCGAAACAUUUCACCACAACUGAGGUCAGCUUUGAGUGAAGGGUUAGAAAAGGGGUAGGGUUAACUGUUAGGUCCGGAACUCUCUUUGGCUAUCUAUAGAACCUGCAUUUUUCUCUAACUAAAUAUGAGGGUUCUCCCUAUCUCAGCAAAAAUCCAGAACAAUAAAUCAUAAAACAAUAAAUCCCUGAAUGAGAGUGACAAGAGAUUCAUAACUGGAAAUAACUUGAAACAGUCACCCAUCAAUGAACAUAGAGAUGGGCAGGAUGAGCAGUGAAAGGGUUUUAGCUUUGAGGGCUUACGAUGUGAGACUUCCGCUAUCCAAACCAUGCAUGUUAUUUUGUCCAUGGAAUAAACUGCAGCCAAGGAUUGCCAGUGAUGGAAGCAGAUGAACUCAGCGUCAAGACAACAUACUGGACUCAUAGAUGACACUAUGUUCAGGACAUAGAAACACCAAUGGAUCUGCUAACGUCAAGCUCCUGUAACCAGAUACUCAGGUGUGUCCUCUCUCAUUCCUUACAGUAAAAUACCUGCUGCAAUGCCUUCUAUCUGCCAAGUAUUGAGCUGGCUACUGAAGACACAGAAGGACAUGAAACAUGACCACUGACCCGGGCAAGUCCACAAUCUAAUAGAUGAGACGCACAUGCAAACAAAUCAUAUCAGGGAUCAUAAUGACAGGCUUACCCCAGUGGUUGGCUUUCCAAUGCCAAAUGACCAUAGAAUGGUUGAGAUUGAGUUCUUCGGCAGCUUCUCAGUUGCAGGUUUUUCUUUGCAGACCUUGGUCGUAUUCAAACCAGGAGAUAUUUUUCUGAAGGAACCAGGAAAGUUGCAAAGAAGAGAAUGUUUCUACUAUUCCACUAUCGACUCAAGCUCUAAUCUUUAAAAAUAAAUAAACUAAAAGUAAUGGGAGCAACAGAAGACAGACUGAAGCAGGAGAAAAACCAGAGAGGAAGAAUAUCCCCAAGAUGCUGGCAUGAUGGAAUAGUCCUAAGAGCAGCAGACCUCUGAAUAAACACGAUGGAUGUGGAGGAAAGGUCAUUAGAAUGAAAAUAAAAUUUUGUGUAAGAAAGGGGAUAAAGAGGAAUAGAACUGAAAAGGGAAUACAAACCAAAAAAGAACAAUUCCUCAGUUAAAAACAUGGGUUGCAUGAAAUGAAGCCAACAAUUGAGGAGGCUAGGGUUCUGUUUUAUUAGAGUUUCAUCAUUUGUCUAAUAUUUGUUUCCUUGCUUUAACUGGCAACACUCUACAAAGACAGCAAUUGAGUCCCUACAAGCCUCCUCUAUUACCUCUUCUAUGCUCUGUGAAAGAGCCAUUGCCUGUAGGAAACUUUAGAAGACUGGGAAACUGGGAAUCCCUAAUCCUUGUGCUAUUUUUUGCCUUAUAUAACCAUCUCUGAAAAUCUAUUUUUGGCCAUUAAGUAAAUUUCAGGCCUAUAACUGUACACCCAUAGACAUCCUUCUGAAAGAUCACACCACUGACAACAACACAGGAAGCAAUCACGUCCAGACACAUACAGGAGUGUUUGUGAAUCAUUGCCUGUGGCUUCAACUUUCCCUAAAGCCAAUUAUGCACAGUUUGCAAAUGUUUACUGGUCACAUCAAAGAAACUCAUAAGCGUCUACCAUGGGCACAGCCUAUGCCAGGAACAUAAAGGGAUGCAAAAGUAAGUGGCUCUGUUUUCAAAUAAUUUACAGUUUUAUGGGGAGGAUCAAGCAAACAAAAAAGAGAGACUACUAUUAAUACUACUACUAAAGAGAAAAAUAUAUGUAUACAUAUGUAUAUCUAUGGCUGAUCCAUGUUGACAUAUGGCAGAAACCAACACAAUAUUGUAAUUUCCCUUUAAUUAAAAAUAUAUAUAUUUUUUAAAGUGAAAUAUAAAAUGCCCUAGAAGUCCAUAAGAGAUUAAUUCCUAUUAAGGGAUUUAGAAAAGCUCUUAAACUGGAUAUUGUUUGAGCUGGGGGGGAGGGGGUGAAUAUAGUUGGAAAGGCAUUUUGAACAGAGAAAAACCUGAGUAAAGGUACAGAGCUGAGAAAUUAUAUGCUGUGUACAGAAAGAACAUCUAAUCCAGUUAGGGCAACUGAGCAGUCCCUGUGAGCCUCACGCUAAUUACUAAAGCAUCAGAUCUAUUAAAGAACGCUGCUUACUUCUUCCCUCUCUCAACAAGGCUGUAUGGAUACUGCUCAAAAGUAUAGUUCUUGGAGCCAGAAUGCUUGGAUCUAAAUCUGUUCUUUGCCAAGUCCUUGCUGUGUGACCUGUGGCAUGCAAAUGUACUUUCUUUGCCUCCAUUUCCUCUCUGCAAAUUGAGGAUUAUAUGGACAUGUAUUUAAUAGUGUUGUUACAAGAAACAGAGACUUUAGAAGAAUCCAUGGCCCAUGAGAAACACUAGUGUUAUUGGUUAUUAUCCCUCUUAUCUAGGGACUCUGCAGACAUGGAAGACCUUAAAGAAAUUUUUCUAAUCUUUUCUCCCAGCUUCAUCAAACUAGUUUCUGUAAUUUAUUACACAGAAAGCCUGUGUAAUAAAUUACAAAGGGGGUGGAGGAGCAGAAGUUAAGAACUAACCAUUAAAUAACCCGAUAUUCUUGCAUUCAAGUUCUUAAAACAUAAGAUAAAACAGCUCCUCUGAUAAUUCUUUUCAACUGUAAGCAAAAAAACUCAUUGUACUUGCUCACUCUAUUAAUGCAACACGGCAAAUCAAAAAAGAGCUAGUUUCACAGCAAAGUGUUUAAAGUUGGGAAUUACUUUAUGUGUGUUUAUUUAUUUGCUUUCUUCCUUAGCCAGAAGCAUUGGCCUCUUCAAAAAUCCCAAGUGUGUCCCAACUCAAAGAUUCACCAACAGAGAUAGAAAAGGCUUUCCUUAACCCUGUUAGGAUCCCUGGCUGGGUCUGAAAAUUAAACUGACAAAGACAGAUUAACAGGAGAAAAGCAUAAAAUUUUAUUCCCUAUGUUUUAAUGGCAGGGAGUCCGUGUGAAGAAAUGAAGACCUAAAGGAACAGUUAAACCUGAGAAUAUGUAUACUAGGCAAUAGAGUGUACAGUUGUAUAGAAACUUGAUCAGUCAAAUAGUGUGAUGGAAAUGUAGCAAACAGCGGGGUGGGGGGAGAAUUUAGCAAAGGCCUAUUUGUUCAGAUUCUUCUCAGUGUCCUUUUCUCUAGAGAAGGAAGUUCCUUUCCUCCAGGGAGGGCACCUCUCACGUGAGGGUUUUAUGACCUGUCUCAAGGGAGAAGGAUGAGAAGGGCAAGGUGACCUUCCUGCUUCUGCCAUUUCCUCAAACUCCUUCAGCAUAAAAUAUUCAAUAUGCCAAGGUGCCAUAUUUUGGGGGUAGGGAGUCUUCAACUGCAUCACACACUAGUUAGCUGAGCACAGUCCACUACUUACCUCUGUUUCCACAAAGAAACCCAAACCAGCCCUGGUUUCCACUUUCCUCUGUACAUGUGUGCCUGCUAAGUCUUUCAAUUAUGUCCAACUCUUUGUGACACUAGGGACCAUAGCCUGCCAGGCUCCUCUGUCCAUGGGAUUUUCCAGGCAGGAAUACUGGAGUGGGUUGCCAUGCCCACCUCCAAGGGAUCUUCUCAACCCAGGGAUCGAACCUGCGUCUCUUAUGUCUCCUGCACUGGCAGGCAGAUUCUUUACCACUAGCACCACAUGGACUUGGAAUAAAAACAAGGAGAUUUUUGUGAACUUAUUUUCCUUCCUCUCUCGGCAUGCUGCUUUUUUCUUUUCCUCAUCUGUUAGUUUAGUGCAAGAAACAUAGGCUACAGUUAAACAACAGAAGCAGAGUCAAGUCUCGACUUAAAAAUAAGUUUGAGUCCUAGGGUCAUUUUUAGUACUGAUCCCUUCUGGAAUAUGACAGGAGUAGGGUGACCAGUAGUAACCUACAGACAUAACCUAAGAGCCAUGGAGUACGUGCUUAGCAAGACACUAAAGUCAAGUACAAAGUCAGCUCUGCUUCACCCCAGGACUCCCGGGCUUUCUCCUUCCCCACAAUGAGGGACGAGCCGUGCUCUGAACUGUGGCCUCCUGCUGCACAAACACGGGCUAUAGAAAGUGACAUCAUCAUCUGAGAAGGGAAACAAGAGUGAAGGAACCUUUUGUGGAGAAAAUAUUAUCAUUCAUUAAGACAGUGCUAUAGACUUCCAAAAGCAAAGUUUAAGAUCAAAUUAAUGAACUCUUUUCCAUUCAGAGAUACUUUCAAUAGCUACCGCUCCACCUCUUCCCACUUACACUUUCUCUCUCCCCUGAGAUAUGAGAACUACUUCUGUGUGUGGCUUUAUCUCCCCUUCUUCACAAGUCCCUAGGCAGAUAGAGACAUAAGUCUUUCAUUUUUCUCACGAGCAAGACUGAAAGGCACUUGGACAGGGGAGAAAGCUAAUUAGUAUUUUUGUUUCAGUAUAGGGUUCUACAUGCCCUUACCAAUUAUAAUUGCAUUAUCUGCCUGGAAAUUCUAUUUUACAACACAGCAAAGGGAACAGAUGCCUAGAAAUACUUUUUGUUGUCUUCUUCCUCCAAUUUACAGAUUUCUUUCUCUCAAGUGAAGACUUAGUUUAUUUACUGAAUUAUAGAACAGAGAAAUUGGUCAAUUCUAGGCUUGAAAAUGUCUACCACAGUCCUCUGAAUAAUGUCCUAUGAAUUAAUUAAAUUGAAUUCCAAGUUUUUUUCUUGCCCAUAUAUAACUCACAUUUGUCUGAUUUAUUUUUCAGAGAAACAUUGGAAAGAUAUUGCUAGCUUUCACUAAAUAGCAAUGUGCUUGCUUAUAUUCAUAUGGAAGCACUCUAAGUCUUUCAAAGAAACUGUUAUCAUUAACUCUCAACAGUUCUGUGAGACAUGGGCCACAUUCCUAUCUUUGAAAUGAUAACAAAAAAGUCAGCUCUGAAAAUCUCUUGAUUAGGAAUAUAACACCAUAGAUCUAUCAGUAGGAACUAAUGUGGUUUCUUUCCAGCAAGCUAUUUCAGCUUUGAAGUCCCAUGUUCUUUGUAUUACUGGAAUUGUUUCUGUUCUUAAACAAAGGUUUAUUUCUGCCACUAAUUAUCUAUAUGACUUCAGGCAAGUCAUGUAAUGUCUCUGCAUCUGAACUUUCUUAUCAGUAAAGUGAGUAAGGAUUUCCAAUUAAAAAUGGAAAUGUGACACCCAUGGAAAAUGAUAGAAGAAGCUAUAAAAUGUAAGAAACUUUUUUUAAAAAAAGUAUGGAAGAGGAGAUGACAGAAGACAGGACAUGUCUACAACACUGCAGAGGAUGAAAAGCAGAAAGAGCAGUAACUGAUGGCAGGCAAGCAAAACUGCAACCAAUUUGACCUCAGAGGAGAAAGUCAGUGAGAAACCAGUAGAUUGUGGGAAACUAAAUUCCCCCUCCCUCAUCUACACUCUAACAUCCAGAAGCGUAAUAUGUUACCUUACAUGGCAAAAGGAACUUUGCAGAUGCAAUUAAGGAUCUUGAGAUGGAGAUAGUAGCCUGUAUUAUCCAGGUAGGCCCAGUGGAGACAGGAGAGGCAGAGCAAGAUGUGAAGAAGGAAGCAGAAGUUGGAAUGACCAGGGGCCAUAAGCCAAGGAAUGCAAGUAGCCUCUACAUGCCAGAGAAGGCAAGGAGAUGAGCUCUGCCCUGGAGCCCUCAGAAGGAAUUCAGCCCUGCGAACACCUUGAUUUCAGUUCCAUUAAGGCUCACGUCAGACUUCUGUCCUCCAGAACUGUAAGAUAAUAAAUUUGUGUAUUUUUAA